rnacentral:rRNA from 1 species
AGAGUUUGAUCCUGGCUCAGGAUGAACGCUGGCGGCGUGCUUAACACAUGCAAGUCGAACGGAGUUGUACGAACAGAAGCCUUCGGGUGGAAGAUUGUAUAACUUAGUGGCGGACGGGUGAGUAACACGUGAGCAACCUGCCUUUCACAGUGGAAUAACAACAGGAAACUGUUGCUAAUACCGCAUAAUAUCUAGAUAAGGCAUCUUAUUUAGAUCAAAGAUUUAUCGGUGAAAGAUGGGCUCGCGUCCGAUUAGCUAGUUGGUGGGGUAAAGGCCUACCAAGGCGACGAUCGGUAGCCGGACUGAGAGGUUGAACGGCCACAUUGGGACUGAGACACGGCCCAGACUCCUACGGGAGGCAGCAGUGGGGAAUAUUGGGCAAUGGGCGCAAGCCUGACCCAGCAACGCCGCGUGAAGGAUGAAGGUCUUCGGAUUGUAAACUUCUUUGGUCAGGGACGAAACAAAUGACGGUACCUGAAGAACAAGCCACGGCUAACUACGUGCCAGCAGCCGCGGUAAUACGUAGGUGGCGAGCGUUAUCCGGAUUUACUGGGUGUAAAGGGCGUGUAGGCGGUUUUUUAAGAUGGAUGUGAAAUCCCCAGGCUCAACCUGGGAGGGUCAUCCAUAACUGGAGAACUUGAGUGUCGGAGAGGAAAGCGGAAUUCCUAGUGUAGCGGUAAAAUGCGUAGAUAUUAGGAGGAACACCAGUGGCGAAGGCGGCUUUCUGGACGAUAACUGACGCUAAGGCGCGAAAGCGUGGGGAGCAAACAGGAUUAGAUACCCUGGUAGUCCACGCUGUAAACGAUGAAUACUAGGUGUAGGGGGUAUCGACCCCUCCUGUGCCGUCGUUAACACAAUAAGUAUUCCACCUGGGGAGUACGGUCGCAAGACUGAAACUCAAAGGAAUUGACGGGGGCCCGCACAAGCAGUGGAGUAUGUGGUUUAAUUCGACGCAACGCGAAGAACCUUACCAAGGCUUGACAUCCUCUGACAGCUCUAGAGAUAGAGU